GACGAACGCUGGCGGCGUGCCUAAUACAUGCAAGUUGAGCGCUGAAGGUUGGUACUUGUACCGACUGGCUGAGCAGCGAACGGGUGAGUAACGCGUGGGGAAUCUGCCUUUGAGCGGGGGACAACAUUUGGAAACGAAUGCUAAUACCGCAUAAAAACUUUAAACACAAGUUUUAAGUUUGAAAGAUGCAAUUGCAUCACUCAAAGAUGAUCCCGCGUUGUAUUAGCUAGUUGGUGAGGUAAAGGCUCACCAAGGCGAUGAUACAUAGCCGACCUGAGAGGGUGAUCGGCCACAUUGGGACUGAGACACGGCCCAAACUCCUACGGGAGGCAGCAGUAGGGAAUCUUCGGCAAUGGACGAAAGUCUGACCGAGCAACGCCGCGUGAGUGAAGAAGGUUUUCGGAUCGUAAAACUCGGUUGGUAGAGAAGAACGUUGGUGAGAGUGGAAAGCUCAUCAAGUGACGGUAACUACCCAGAAAGGGACGGCUAACUACGUG
rnacentral:rRNA from 1 species